rnacentral:rRNA from 1 species
CCGUAACUAUAACGGUCCUAAGGUAGCGAAAUUCCUUGUCGGGUAAGUUCCGACCCGCACGAAAGGCGUAAUGAUUUGAGCGCUGUCUCGACAAUGCAUCCGGUGAAAUUGAAGUACCAGUGAAGAUGCUGGUUACCUGCGCCAGGACGGAAAGACCCCAUGGAGCUUUACUCCAGUCUGGUACUGGGACUCGGUAUUGCAUGUACAGGAUAGGUGGGAGGCUAGGAGAUGGUAACGCCAGUUGCCAUGGAGCCGCUGUUGGGAUACCACCCUUGCAGUAUUGGGUUUCUAACCAGCCGCCGUGACCCGGCGGUGGGACAAUGCCAGACGGGGAGUUUGACUGGGGCGGUCGCCUCCGAAAGGGUAUCGGAGGCGCUCAAAGGUUCCCUCAGAAUGGUCGGAAACCAUUCGAAGAGUGCAAAGGCAGAAGGGAGCUUGACUGCGACACCGACGGGUGGAGCAGGUACGAAAGUAGGACUUAGUGAUCCGGUGGUAUUAAGUGGGAAUGCCAUCGCUCAACGGAUAAAAGCUACCCUGGGAUAACAGGCUUAUCACUCCCAAGAGUUCACAUCGACGGAGUGGUUUGGCACCUCGAUGUCGGCUCAUCGCAUCCUGGGGCUGUAGUAGGUCCCAAGGGUUGGGCUGUUCGCCCAUUAAAGCGGUACGCGAGCUGGGUUCAGAACGUCGUGAGACAGUUCGGUCCCUAUCCGGCGCGGGCGGAGGAUAUUUGAGAGGAGCUGUCCUUAGUACGAGAGGACCGGGAUGGACGGACCACUGGUGUAUCUGUUGUCGACCAACGGCAUGGCAGAGUAGCCAAGUCUGGAAGGGAUAAACGCUGAAGGCAUCUAAGCGUGAAGCCCCCCUCAAGAUGAGAUAUCCCUCCUUCGGGAGUAAGACCCCUUGAAGACUACAAGGUAGAUAGGGCAGAGGUGGAAGUGUGGCAACACAUGGAGCUGACUGUUACUAAUCGGGUGAGGGCUUG